CGCGACAUUUUUUCUCUUUUUUUUAUAUUUUCGCGGGGGCGCCCGCCCCCACAGGGGGUUUUUUCCGCGGUCUUCUUAUAAUAAUACGCCGUGUGUCCCCCCCUUUUUUUUUUUUUUUUUUUUUUUUUUUUUUUUCUUUUCUCUCAGAUUGACGCUGGCGGCAGGCCUAACACAUGCAAGUCGAACGGUAACAGGAAGCAGCUUGCUGCUUCGCUGACGAGUGGCGGACGGGUGAGUAAUGUCUGGGAAACUGCCUGAUGGAGGGGGAUAACUACUGGAAACGGUAGCUAAUACCGCAUAACGUCGCAAGACCAAAGAGGGGGACCUUCGGGCCUCUUGCCAUCGGAUGUGCCCAGAUGGGAUUAGCUUGUAGGUGGGGUAACGGCUCACCUAGGCGACGAUCCCUAGCUGGUCUGAGAGGAUGACCAGCCACACUGGAACUGAGACACGGUCCAGACUCCUACGGGAGGCAGCAGUGGGGAAUAUUGCACAAUGGGCGCAAGCCUGAUGCAGCCAUGCCGCGUGUAUGAAGAAGGCCUUCGGGUUGUAAAGUACUUUCAGCGGGGAGGAAGGGAGUAAAGUUAAUACCUUUGCUCAUUGACGUUACCCGCAGAAGAAGCACCGGCUAACUCCGUGCCAGCAGCCGCGGUAAUACGGAGGGUGCAAGCGUUAAUCGGAAUUACUGGGCGUAAAGCGCACGCAGGCGGUUUGUUAAGUCAGAUGUGAAAUCCCCGGGCUCAACCUGGGAACUGCAUCUGAUACUGGCAAGCUUGAGUCUCGUAGAGGGGGGUAGAAUUCCAGGUGUAGCGGUGAAAUGCGUAGAGAUCUGGAGGAAUACCGGUGGCGAAGGCGGCCCCCUGGACGAAGACUGACGCUCAGGUGCGAAAGCGUGGGGAGCAAACAGGAUUAGAUACCCUGGUAGUCCACGCCGUAAACGAUGUCGACUUGGAGGUUGUGCCCUUGAGGCGUGGCUUCCGGAGCUAACGCGUUAAGUCGACCGCCUGGGGAGUACGGCCGCAAGGUUAAAACUCAAAUGAAUUGACGGGGGCCCGCACAAGCGGUGGAGCAUGUGGUUUAAUUCGAUGCAACGCGAAGAACCUUACCUGGUCUUGACAUCCACGGAAGUUUUCAGAGAUGAGAAUGUGCCUUCGGGAACCGUGAGACAGGUGCUGCAUGGCUGUCGUCAGCUCGUGUUGUGAAAUGUUGGGUUAAGUCCCGCAACGAGCGCAACCCUUAUCCUUUGUUGCCAGCGGUCCGGCCGGGAACUCAAAGGAGACUGCCAGUGAUAAACUGGAGGAAGGUGGGGAUGACGUCAAGUCAUCAUGGCCCUUACGACCAGGGCUACACACGUGCUACAAUGGCGCAUACAAAGAGAAGCGACCUCGCGAGAGCAAGCGGACCUCAUAAAGUGCGUCGUAGUCCGGAUUGGAGUCUGCAACUCGACUCCAUGAAGUCGGAAUCGCUAGUAAUCGUGGAUCAGAAUGCCACGGUGAAUACGUUCCCGGGCCUUGUACACACCGCCCGUCACACCAUGGGAGUGGGUUGCAAAAGAAGUAGGUAGCUUAACCUUCGGGAGGGCGCUUACCACUUUGUGAUUC
rnacentral:rRNA from 1 species